rnacentral:rRNA from 1 species
CACGAACGCUGGCGGCAGGCCUAACACAUGCAAGUCGAGCGCCCCGCAAGGGGAGCGGCGGCCGGGUGAGUAACGCGUGGGAACGUGCCCUUUGCUACGGAAUAGCCCCGGGAAACUGGGAGUAAUACCGUAUAAGCCCUCCAGGGGAAAGAUUUAUCGGCAAAGGAUCGGCACGCGUUGGAUUCGGUAGUUGGUGGGGUAAUGGGCUACCAAGCCGACGAUCCAUAGCUGGUUGGAGAGGAUGAUCCGCCACACUGGGACUGAGGCACGGUCCAGACUCCUACGGGAGGCAGCAGUGGGGAAUCUUAGACAAUGGGCGCAAGCCUGAUCUAGCCAUGCCGCGUGAGCGAUGAAGGCCUUAGGGUUGUAAAGCUCUUUCGUGGGGGAAGAUAAUGACUGUACCCCAAGAAGAAGCCCCGGCUAACUCCGUGCCAGCCGCCGCGGUAACAC